rnacentral:tRNA from 1 species
GCCCGCCUAGCUCAAUCGGAUAGAGCGUCAGACUCUUAUAGGUGGGAUCUGAAGGCUGCGAGUUCGACCCUCGCGGUGGGCU